rnacentral:rRNA from 1 species
UACGUAGGUGGCAAGCGUUGUUCGGAAUUAUUGGGCGUAAAGGGCGCGUAGGCGGUUUGUUAAGUCGGCUGUGAAAGCCCGGGGCUCAACCCCGGAGGGUCAGCCGAUACUGGCAGGCUAGAGUACGGAAUAGGUAGCUGGAGUUCCCGGUGGAGCGGUGAAAUGCGUUGAUAUCGGGAGGAACUCCGGCGGCGAAAGCGGUGCACUGGUGGAUUACUGACGCUGAGGUGCGAAAGCCAGGGGAGCAAACGGG